UGGAGAUUAUCUCUCGGUACCUUCGG
rnacentral:piRNA from 1 species